UACGUAGGGGGCAAGCGUUGUCCGGAUUUACUGGGCGUAAAGAGCGUGUAGGCGGCCAGGUAGGUCCGACGUGAAAACUGGAGGCUCAACCUCCAGCUGUCGUUGGAAACCAUCUGGCUAGAGUCCGGAAGAGGAGAGUGGAAUUCCUGGUGUAGCGGUGAAAUGCGCAGAUAUCAGGAAGAACACCAAUGGCGAAGGCAGCUCUCUGGGACGGUACUGACGCUGAGACGCGAAAGCGUGGGGAGCGAACAGG
rnacentral:rRNA from 1 species